UGCGUAGGCGGGAGCCUAAGUCUGUGGUGAAAUCUUGCCGCUUAACGGUAAAAUGGCCAUAGAUACUGGGUUUCUUGAGUACAGAAGAGGCAGGUGGAAUUCGUAGUGUAGCGGUGAAAUGCAUAGAUAUUACGAAGAACACCAGCGGCGAAGGCGGCCUGCUGGGCUGUAACUGACGCUGAGGCACGAAAGCGUGGGGAGCGAACA
rnacentral:rRNA from 1 species